rnacentral:rRNA from 1 species
AGGGUUUGAUCCUUCCGCUCAGAACGAACGUUGGCGAGAUGUUUUAAGCAUGCAAGUCGAGCGGUAUCCUUCUGGCCAGAGCGGCGAACGGGUGAGUAACACGUAGGUUAUCUGCCCCGCAGACUGGGAUAGCCACUGGAAACAGUGAUUAAUACCGGAUACACUUUUACGAGGAAAGGCGCGUUUGCGCCACUGUGGGAUGAGUCUACGCCCUAUUAGUUUGUUGGUGGGGUAAUGGCCUACCAAGGCGAUGAUAGGUAGCCGACCUGAGAGGGUGAUCGGCCACAUUGGGACUGAGACACGGCCCAGACUCCUACGGGAGGGAGCAGCUAAGAAUAUUCCGCAAUGGGCGAAAGCCUGACGGAGCAAUCUCGCGUGAGUGAUGAAGGCCUUCGGGUUGUAAAGCCCUUUCGGCAGGGAAGAAUAAUUACCAAGGAAAUGUUGGUAAGAUGACGGUACCUGCAGAAGAAGCACCGGCUAAUUACGUGCCAGCAGCCGCGGUAACACGUAGGGUGCGAACGUUGUUCGGAAUCAUUGGGCGUAAAGGGUACGCAGGCGGCCAAGCAAGUUUAGUGGUGAAAUCUCUGGAGCUUAACUCCGAGCCUGCCAUUUAAACUGCUUGGCUUAGAGUUGCCUUAUAUAGGUUAGCGGGGAAUUCCUUAGCGU